rnacentral:rRNA from 1 species
UACCUGCAGCUCAAGUAGUGACCACUAUUAUUGGGCCUAAAACGUUCGUAGCCUGUUUGGUAAAUGCCUGGGUAAAUCGUGUAGCUUAACUAUACGAAUUCCGGGUAGACUGCCAAACUUGAAACCGGGAGAAGCUAGAGGUACUUCUGGGGUAGAGGUGAAAUUCUGUAAUCCUAGGGGGACCACCAGUGGCGAAGGCGUCCGACUAGAACGGGUCUGACGGUGAGGGACGAAGCCCUGGGGCGCAAACCGGAUUAGAUACCCGGGUAGUCCAGGGUGUAAACGCUGCUUGCUUGAUGUUAGUUGGGCUCCGAGCCCAAUUAGUGUCGGAGAGAAGUUGUUAAGCAAGCUGCCUGGGAAGUACGGUCGCAAGACUGAAACUUAAAGGAAUUGGCGGGGAGCACAGCAACGGGUGGAGCGUGCGGUUU